AUGCGACAAGAUGUCAUUCAGGAAUUUUUGGCGCUUUAUCAAAGAACAGGGCCUUAUCUACUGAUCGAGCCCUACUUGGUCGAUGAAGCGCUUCGUUCCUAUCUGGACCAUAUUCACGCAACUGAUUCUUUCACUGUUCUCCAAGCGUCUUACCAAGAUUCGCGGGAGAAUGAGGGAGGAUCUGUUUUCUUUAGAAAUGUUGUUUCCCACAACAGGGAUCUCCUUGAGGCGGAAAGCUCCGCAAGGAGGUGCUUGGAAGUGGAACAGAGGAUCCGAUGGCAAGAAAUCCCCAAGAGCAAGGCAAGUCUCGAAAGAGCUGAGCACGAGCAUGCUCUCGACUUGUUUAAGUCGGAGGAUCUUAGAAGGGAAUUAGAAAAAAAAGAGCGGGGUAGCUCAGUAAUUCUGAUUCUUUUCUCUUCCAGCCCCCGGGCGGGCCCCUCUUUCUUUUCUCUUCCAGCCCCCCGGCCCCUCUUUGAUAAGGAAAGUCUUCAUUUCUCAAAUAAAAAAUGA
rnacentral:rRNA from 1 species